CUGAUGGAUGAGGCACUAUUGUUGCUUUCAAAGUCUUGGAAUGAACACGGCAAAGUUGAAAAGCGCCAUGUGAGAAGUUUGUAGCGACAGUUUGAUGCCUCAGCUGCUAUUUCUCAGUUACGAUUGAAGAAAAGUGCUGUUAUCAUAGUCCAUGAGUGGAAAAAACAAGAUGGAAAGUCCUAGGUCCAAGUCCUCCCUGCUGAAUGCACUCUUCUGCCCUGGAGAACUAUCCUUACCUCGCUGAGCUUCUGUUUCUCCUUAGAAAUUCCUGAUCAUAUCACACAAGUUCUUGUGAUGAUUAAUCGGGGUUUCUUAAACCACGGAUGAGUAGCAGCAGUACUACAUGGGAACUAAACCAUUAGGUCUCAUUUCAAACCUCCUGAGUCAGAAACCCAGCAAUAUAAAACAAGAUGUUUCAUCACCAUGGAAAAAUUAACUUCUCUGGCGGCAGCCUGCCAUUCAAUUCCUGGAUCUGAAGCCCAAGUAUGCUGUUACCAAAAAAAAAUUGAGUAACUGCAGUACCCAGUGGAAAAAUAGUUCAUGGUUGCAUUAUUAUCAGUCUUACUUUUUUUAUAAAUCAUUCUAUGUGAAUUUCAUUUUAGGAACACAUUUUGAGUGGUUGUCCAGGAGAAAACUCUCCAAGAUUGCUUUUCUGAAGAACUUGCACUGUGCUUACAGAUGCAUAGAUAGGUGCAAGGUUAGAUAUCUAUACAUGUGGCUGGACAAAGAUAUAUCCCUCUACUACAGCAGGUCUAGCUUGGCCUUGGGCAGAAUUGUGAAGAUGUCAGAUUUAUUUCUAAUAACUCCAGCAUCUGCUUUCUAUAAAGACUUCUUCCCUAAUGAUACCUCUAUCUCCAAAGACUUUUCACUCAUCCCUCACUUUCUUAAUCAAGUCUCUUUUCAGGAAAACAGAGUAUUAUACCGUAUUUAUUGCCAUUAAAUCCUAGGGUAUUACCAGCUUCCAAGGACAUUUGUUUCCAUUUCAAUUAAGUAAAAUCUUAAACAUGGGUGGUUCUCAGUAUGUGGUUCCCAGAGCAUCAGAAUCAACCAUCACCUGGGAACCUGUUAGAAAUGAAAAUCCCAGACCUACUGAGUUAGAAAUUCUGGGGGUGGAGUCACAAAGUUGUACACAUUGAAGUCUGAGAGGCUCCCUCUUAUUAGGGGCGAUAAUUAGAAACUCUGAUUAGAACUGUUUCAGGUAUCAGCUGUCCUAUGGUGAGGUAGAAAUAGCAGAAACUCUAGGAAAAGAAGACAGACAUUAACUUAUCCAAUAGACAGUAGCCUUCUGUAUAUGAUUAAGUUCGCUUUCCAAUAUUCAGUUUGAAGACUUGGAAUUCUUGGUUCAUUAAAACUGCAAAUAGACAUGAUUUAAUAUUGAAAAAUGAAAAUACACUUAAAAACCCUAAGGGCACAUUAGUUGGGAGGGAAGGGCACAGCUGCUAUUGCUAAAGAAUAUAUAGAAUAAAUGUAAUGACUCAGCAUUUGUGUGAGGGGCACACCCUGAGGGUUACUUACUUUUAAUU